GGUUCCCGAACAGGUACCUGUUCCCACUUCCUCCGAGGCCCCCCCUUAGUAUCAGAAAAGCAGCCCAGGAUUCUCGGAGGAGAGACAUCUGAGACGUCCAACGUCGGGGGAUAAAAGCCCUGAAUCAUGUGGUCCCAGUGCCCUAUGACAGCUGGAUGCGACCCAUGGCCAGGGCAGCAUCAGGAAAUGGGCUUCAAGUCUGAGCCCAGAAGCCAUCAGACAAAGCCCCCAGCAGCGUGGGGUUGAUUGCCCCGGAGGGGACAGCAAAAAGGCAAGUGAGAUGACCGGGGUUUCAGAAACAGGCCAGCUGGAAUCCAGGCAGCAGCCAGCAAGUGGGGGCAAAGAUACCUAGACUGCCCGGGACUUCACGGCUGUCACUCAGCUGCCCAUCCGCAGCGGAAGGACGCGUCUCACUUGUGCUGAAGGAAAACACUUGUGGAACCUCGGCGACAUGAGGCAAACGUUGCCUGUCUCGGAAGGAGUGGAGAGGAAUAACGCAAUAUCCUAGCUUUGAGCCAUGCUGCCCCCUGGUGGCCAGACAGCAGAGAGAUAAGGGACCUAGUACUGCUAGCCACCCGGCGCAUCCUCCCGCAGCUCAGGUGGCAGAAGCCCAAGGCUGUCUCAUCCUCGCUGUAGGUGUCAAUUGUCUGGAGCGCAGGGACGGGGCAGUAUGGGACCUCUGACACAGUGGAGCAAUUCUGAAUCCCCCCACUUGCGGGAAAUAAUACAGAAGCCUGCUUCAGCCUGAGAAGUGCCCCCCCGGAGAGGGAGGCCCAUGUGUCUGAAUGAACCUUGAGAAGAAGAGAAAUGCCUCAAACUCCCCGAGGCCUCGGCACGUCUUUAACCCUUUGCUCAAGCACAGCCGUGCUGCCUUGGCUCAAGCAAUGGGCCAUCACUGCGCUCUGCUGGAUGUCCCUGAUUGCGUCUAUUGCAUUGGGGUGGGGGGAACGAGGCACUGGGGGAGAUAGAAGCUGCAGAAAAAAACAAGCUAAUUAGCCCCAGCUGAGCUGCAACUGGAAGCGGUAUGUGCAAGGGGAGAGGUGAAAUAAACCCGUCACUGCUGGCCUAGAACAUCCAGGCACCAUAUCGGAAAAUUCCGUCCUCUCCCUUUAAUUGCGCUGCUUUGAUAACUGGGAUAAUUGGCGAAGGAUCAAUAUUGUUUUGCUUUCGCUUCCCCUGCCCCCGUCUCGCUCGUCUAGGCCGCC